rnacentral:antisense_RNA from 1 species
CUUCACCGAUCCCAGCCACAGCGGCCGGUCGUCCGACCGGUCCUGGCCAUAGGUCGCCAGCAGCGCCUGCGCCUC